rnacentral:lncRNA from 1 species
GUAUUCUUGGAUGACCUUGUGGGCUGAUUAAGGGUGGAGAAGUGAGGUGCCAAUUAAAAAGUUGCACGACCCUUCGGAGAAACAUCGCAGAAUUUUUUUUGAAGAGUCCUUCUACGUGAAGUGACUCUUGAAAUUAAUUUUGAUGUUUUCACGUAAGAGAUCAGGCUUGGACCAAUAUGUGAAGGGUGGAACAGUGUGAGGAUGGG